AACGAACGCUGGCGGCAGGCUUAACACAUGCAAGUCGAACGAGAUCUUCGGGUCUAGUGGCAGACGGGUGAGGAACACGUGGGAACAUCCCUUUCAGUUCGGAAUAACGUUGGGAAACUAACGCUAAUACCGGAUACGUCCUUCGGGAGAAAGAUUUAUCGCUGAAAGAUUGGCCCGCGUCUGAUUAGCUAGUUGGUGAGGUAACGGCUCACCAAGGCUACGAUCAGUAGCAGAUCUGAGAGGAUGAUCAGCCACAUUGGGACUGAGACACGGCCCAAACUCCUACGGGAGGCAGCAGUGGGGAAUAUUGGACAAUGGGCGCAAGCCUGAUCCAGCCAUGCCGCGUGAGUGAUGACGGCCUUCGGGUUGUAAAGCUCUUUUGUCCGGGAAGAUAAUGACUGUACCGGAAGAAUAAGCCCCGGCAAACUUCGUGCCAGCAGCCGCGGUAA
rnacentral:rRNA from 1 species